ACGGAAGGCAGCAGUGGGGAAUAUUGCACAAUGGGCGCAAGCCUGAUGCAGCGAUGCCGCGUGAGGGAGGAAGGUUUUCGGAUUGUAAACUCCUGUCCUUAGUGAAGAAAAAAAUGACGGUAGCUAAGAAGAAAGCCACGGCUAACUACGUGCCAGCAGCCGCGGUAAUACGUAGGUGGCAAGCGUUAUCCGGAAUUACUGGGUGUAAAGGGGGCGCAGGCGGGACUGCAAGUUGGAUGUGAAAUACCGCAGCUUAACUGCGGAGCUGCAUCCAAAACUGUAGUUCUUGAGUGGAGUAGAGGUAAGCGGAAUUCCGAGUGUAGCGGUGAAAUGCGUAGAUAUUCGGAAGAACACCGGUGGCGAAGGCGGCUUACUGGGCUCUUACUGACGCUGAGGCCCGAAAGUGUGGGGAGCAAACAGGAUUAGAUACCCUGGUA
rnacentral:rRNA from 1 species